rnacentral:rRNA from 1 species
ACUCCUACGGGAGGCAGCAGUGGGGAAUAUUGCACAAUGGGCGCAAGCCUGAUGCAGCCAUGCCGCGUGUGUGAAGAAGGCCUUCGGGUUGUAAAGCACUUUCAGUUGUGAGGAAAGGUUAGUCGCUAAUAUCGGCUGAGCUGUGACGUUAGCAACAGAAGAAGCACCGGCUAACUCCGUGCCAGCAGCCGCGGUAAUACGGAGGGUGCGAGCGUUAAUCGGAAUUACUGGGCGUAAAGCGCGUGUAGGUGGCUUGUUAAGCCAGAUGUGAAAGCCCCGGGCUCAACCUGGGAACUGCAUUUGGAAGCUGGCAGGCUAGAGUUUUGUAGAGGGUGGUAGAAUUUCAGGUGUAGCGGUGAAAUGCGUAGAGAUCUGAAGGAAUACCGGUGGCGAAGGCGACCACCUGGCCAAUAACUGACACUGAGACGCGAAGGCGUGGGUAGCAAACGGGAUUAGAUACCCUGGUAGGCUCUG